CAUUAUACAGCGAAACUGCGAAUGGCUCAUUAUAUAAGUUAUCGUUUAUUUGAUAGUACCUUACUACUUGGAUAACCGUGGUAAUUCUAGAGCUAAUACAUGCUAAAAAUCCCGACUUCGGAAGGGAUGUAUUUAUUAGAUUAAAAGCCAAUGCCCUCCGGGGCUCACUGGUGAUUCAUGAUAACUUCUCGAAUCGCACGGCCUUGCGCCGGCGAUGGUUCAUUCAAAUUUCUUCCCUAUCAACUUUCGAUGUUUGGGUAGUGGCCAAACAUGGUGGCAACGGGUAACGGAGGGUUAGGGCUCGACCCCGGAGAGGGAGCCUGAGAAACGGCUACCACAUCCAAGGAAGGCAGCAGGCGCGCAAAUUACCCAAUCCCGACUCGGGGAGGUGAGUUAUUUCCAUUACCUGUGGCAGCGAGGCACGACCACUAACAACCGUGCAGGUAGUGACAAUACAUACUGAUACAGGGCUCUUUUGGGUCUUGUAAUCGGAAUGAGUACAAUUUAAAUCCCUUAACGAGGAACAAUUGGAGGGCAAGUCUGGUGCCAGCAGCCGCGGUAAUUCCAGCUCCAAUAGCGUAUAUUAAAGUUGUUGUGGUUAAAAAGCUCGUAGUUGAACCUUGGCCCUGGCUGGCCGGUCCGCCUCACCGCGUGCACUGGUCCGGCCGGGGCUUUCCCUCUGUGGAACCCCAUGCCCUUCACUGGGUGUGGCGGGAAAACAGGACUUUUACUUUGAAAAAAUUAGAGUGCUCCAGGCAGGCCUUUGCUCGAAUACAUUAGCAUGGAAUAAUGAAAUAGGACGCGCGGUUCUAUUUUGUUGGUUUCUAGGACCGCCGUAAUGAUUAAUAGGGACAGUCGGGGGCAUCAGUAUUCAAUUGUCAGAGGUGAAAUUCUUGGAUUUAUUGAAGACUAACUACUGCGAAAGCAUUUGCCAAGGAUGUUUUCAUUAAUCAGGAACGAAAGUUAGGGGAUCGAAGACGAUCAGAUACCGUCGUAGUCUUAACCAUAAACUAUGCCGACUAGGGAUCGGGCGGUGUUAUUUUUUGACCCGCUCGGCACCUUACGAGAAAUCAAAGU
rnacentral:rRNA from 1 species